UUUCUUUUUCCCAAGCCCUUAAUGCUAAGCACAGCAUUUAGCACCUGAUAGAAGGGAUGGUUUUGCAAUAAAGUGAAAAGAGCUCUAGACUAGGAGUUACAUCAUCCUAGAUUUUGUUCUAGAAAGGACCUUAGAGACUUAUUAGUUGAACCUUAGCCCCAAUUCCUUUGACCUGUGCUUGAAUCCUGGCUGUGAUAUCUUGAUCUCUUUGGACCUCAGAAAAGAGGAUAUUGGGCUAUGUAACCUCUGGGGGGUGGGAGAGCAGCUAAAUGGUUCAGUGGAUAGAGUACAAGGCCUGAUGCCUGGAAGACCCAUCUUCAUGAGUUUAAAUCUGGAUUCAGACAUUUACUAGCUGUGUGAUCUUGGGCACAUAACCCUGUUUACCUCAGUAUCCCCAUCUAUAAAAUGAGCUGGAGAAAGAAAUGGCAAACCAUUCCAGUUUCUUUGCCAAGAAAAUUCCAAAAAGGGUCACAUAGAGUCAGUUAUGACCAAACAACAACAAAACCUCUGAGUUUCCUUUCAGCUUUAAAUCCACGAUCCUAUUUUUUAUUUAUUUAUGUGGGAUGGAGGGAAGACUUUGGGAACUAAUAAGGGUUAUUUCCUUUGGGAGGGGAAAGGCAGUUAUAAAUAUGACAAGGUAUCGAGAGAGAAGCAGUCACUUGGAGCAGAGGAAGCCUAGACUCUAGGUGAGAGGCACCUAGAGGAUGUGCCAUUCCCUGAGAGGAUUAGGGAAAAUGGUGCAAGGAUGAUGAAAUGUGGCUAUCUAUUUGAAGAGGCCCAGAAGGGGACAACAAAAGGCAAAGUUAGCACUUGGAGGCAGGAAAUGAGUUGUAUAAAGGUUCUUAAAUAUAAAAUAAGUAGUAUAAUCCUGUAAAUUGCCUUUUUAAAGGUCCCUUAGCAAAUCUAAUCUCGUCCUCCCUUUCUUUCCCCUUUCUUUCUUUCCUGCCUUUAUUCUAUUAUUUGAUGCUAUCUGUGAUCUAUUAUGUGGGCAUUAGGAAAUGGAAUUUUCAGCCAACAGUAGGAAAAAAAGAAUAUAUUCUUUCUAUUUUGAUCUUUUAAACACUGGAUCUCUUUUCAAAGUCUUUGUUUGCCCACUAUCCAGGAUAUGGUGAAACAGUUUCCCUCUUCCCUUUUAAUUCUCAUGACAUGAGUUCUCCAACAUAGAUUGGCUCCUUCUUGAGGACAGGAAGGAGGAAGAGAAAGGCUCAUUUGGGACUUUUGAAUAAUUCUUAGUUCUGUCUCCCCAGCCAAUCAAAAGGGCACCUCUUUUUAAUCUUUAGUGGCCCAUUUCUGGAUUGUUAUGCUAGUUUAUUUUGUUUUAAUUGCUUAUGCUAGCGUCAGCCUCUACUCUGUGUGUGUGGGGGAUAAUGUCUCAGAUUUCAGUUUUGUUGUGGUUGUUAUUUCCUGAGCCCUCUGGGUGUCUUUGACCUCUUAGCUCUUCUAAUUUCUAUAUUACAGGGUCCCAGGCAACACUGUCACCUCUUUGUGGUGGCAAAAAACUAGAAACUGAGGGGAAGCCUAUCAAUUGUGGAAUGACUUAACAAGUUGUGACAUAUGAUUGUGAUGGACUACCACUGUCAUAAGAAAUGAUGAGCAGAUGAAAAAACAACAUGGAAAGGCUUACAUGAAGUUAUGAAGAGUGAAAUGAGCAGAACCAAGAUAACAUUCUAUUCAGCAACAGAAAUAUUGUUUGAAGAACGACUUAAGCCUAUCUCUAGAGAAAGAACUGAUAAACAGAAAUAAGCAAGUGUGGAGAAAGAAGCAAGAAAAUGGAAAGUGGAAAGACAUAUAAAUGCUUCUCCUACGAUUAGUUGAGAUUAAUUAGAGAACUAAUUUUCAUUAGAAGAAGAAAACCACUUACAAGCACCUUUUACUCUAAAUUGGCCUGAAGCCCUGGAGUUGUGGACCUUUGUUAAGUGCCCUGAGAAAGGCUUUGAUUCUAAGGCUUGCCAGAUGACCACUUACCUUACUGUUACUUCAUUUCCCCUUGGGGCUAAAUACUGUGGAGGCUAGCUGUCAACCUGCCUGCUUCACGAAGGUGUGUUGAGGAUGGCUGGGGUCAUGCCUGGGAAGAGCUUUGAACUUCCUGCACAGAAGAAGCAAGAUGGAGAGAGUUUUAUCCUCAACAUGAAGUCAUGGGAUAAUUGUUUCUUUGAAACACAGCAAAAGCAGUGCCUGGGGCCUCAUGUAGGAUAUGACCAACUUCCCCACACCCACCAUUUUCUGCAUUUGAUGUUCUCCGAAUCAGGCAGCCCCCUGAGUUUUUGUUUCUUUGGACACUUAAUUUGAUUUAUCUUGGUAUGGGUUAGUCUGGAUGAUGUCAAAUGGCCAACAAAUCCCCAAUUGUUUCUGAUGAGAAGAGGUGGCUGAAAGGCAUCUCUAGCUACUUAAUUAUCCUCAGUGACAAGGAAAAUGAAGCUGGGAUUUGAAUAGUAUAUUUGCAUAUUGAGACAGCUUUCCUUCUGUUCACUUUCUCCUAAAACUCUCAGAAGAGUCCAAGGAAACAGGUCAGUGGUUUUAAAAAGCCACUUUUCAUAGUUGGGCCAAAAGAAGGCAGAUUCCAAGGAAUUCAGACCUUCUGUGUCCUUGUUUAUCUGUGUUCUCUGUUUAGCCCCUCUAUAUUGAUCCUGUGGCAUCUUUGAUUUUAAAUCUAUGUGCUUAUACAUCAUUGCCUUUCAUAUCUCUUUCUCAGCUAACUGUGAGGACAGAAUUUGAUCUUGGCCCAGACAAAUGUUAAGAAUCAAAAGGAUUUCAUUAAAUGCUUUAAGCCUGCCUCUCAUCCAUGCAAGGAAAAGCCAUAUCUGGAAGAGACAAUUGGCAGACUAUUCUUGUUAGAGACCAAGCAAAUUAUUUUCUUUUUUCAUUGUAUAAUCAACAAUGGCAUGCAGAAUAGAAAUCUGCCAUUGGUUAAUAGACUCCUUUCUUGGUUAUUCUUAUUCCAUGUGAUGAUCAUUAAGACUUUUUCCAACUUGAUGGAAGGUUUUGUAACUUAUUCCUAUAUCCCUCCAUGAGUAGUGUGAUGCUUUAUCCAUAGUACAUUCUUCAUCAUUUUUAAAUGGAAUUUUGUUUUGGAGAAAUGAUACAAAAUAGAAUGAGGACAGCACUGAGACUCUGGAGCCUGGUUUUUAGUGCUAACUCUUCCAAUAACUUGCUCUACAACCUUGGGCAAGCCUUUAUGGGUCUUAGACUUUUCAUUUUUUAAGGAAAGGAGACAGAUGAUGAUUUCUCAACUAUGCCUCCAGCUCUAAUAUCCUGUUUGUCUUUGGAAAAUGUGCGCAAAUAGUCUUACACUGGUACUCUCUAUUCUUCCAACUAUCCCAUCUUUGAUCAGAUUGGCCAACUUGUGUCCAAAAUGCUUUGAGGGCCAGGGAAUAUUUCUCCAUAUUUCUAAAUCCUCAAUGAUGACCAUAAUGACAAAAAGCUAAUAAUUCACUUAUUUUUAUUGCCUUUUUAUCUAUGGCAUUAAAACACUUUUCAUCAUUUCCUUAUUGAGGUAAUAUAGUUCUUGUUGAGACCCAAGUAAAUGACAAGUUCCUUCACUACAUUAUUGAAAAGGGAAAGUCAGCAUAUAAAGGAUAAACAAAUUUUCCAGGUUCCCAAAGUGAGGGUUCUGGCAUAAUUACUCUCAAUUGUUAUCUGGAACCCAGUCUUUUACUUUUCCCGUAAUAAUAGUUUGCAUUUUUAUGCAACAAAUCUAACCAUGCCAUUCUUUUUCUCAAUAAAUUCCAGUGGCUCCUUGGAUAUAAAUAAUAUAAAUUCCUUUGAAUGACAUUUAAAAAUUUUCAUAUUCCCCCAGCAUCCUCUUCCUUCCCAAUCCCAGAAAACCAUCCCAUUCCAUAUAACAAAUUAUAUUUUUAAAGAAGGAAAAGAGAAAAACAAAGAGAAAAAAUCAGCAAAACUUAUCGAUGUACCAAAAAAAGUCUGAAAAUAUGUGCAAUGUACUAUGGACCUCCCGCCUUUGUCAAAAAGUAAGAUAAGGAUGUCUUUUCAUAUUUCUUCUCUGAGAUGGUUACUUGUAAUGGAAACAAUUAUACAACUGAUAUUCAUAUGUGACUAUUCAGGCAUGCAAAAGUUAUUUAAAAGAGACUAUUCUGACUUGCAAAGAAAAUAAUGGAAAAUUGAUUGUCUAAUUGCAGUCUGAAAACAAAAGAAAAAAUACUAAUUCUUCUCCAGUGGAUCCCUAUCAGAGGAAAAUCCUGGAUGGAGAAUUUUUCCAGUGGAUCUUGGCAAAUGCACAGGGAACCAA